rnacentral:rRNA from 1 species
GACGAACGCUGGCGGCGUGCUUAACACAUGCAAGUCGAACGGAAAGGCCCUGCUUUUGUGGGGUGCUCGAGUGGCGAACGGGUGAGUAACACGUGAGUAACCUGCCCUUGACUUUGGGAUAACUUCAGGAAACUGGGGCUACUACCGGAUAGGAGCUCCUGCUGCAUGGUGGGGGUUGGAAAGUUUCGGCGGUUGGGGAUGGACUCGCGGCUUAUCAGCUUGUUGGUGGGGUAGUGGCUGACCAAGGCUUUGACGGGUAGCCGGCCUGAGAGGGUGACCGGCCACAUUGGGACUGAGAUACGGACCAGACUGCUACGGGAGGCAGCAGUGGGGAAUAUUGCACAAUGGGCGGAAGCCGGAUGCAGCAACGCCGCGUGCGGGAUGACGGCCUUCGGGGUGUAAACCGCUUUCGCCUGUGACGAAGCGUGAGUGACGGUAAUGGGUAAAGAAGCACCGGCUAACUACGUG